AACGCGAAGAACCUUACCUGGGCUCGAACGGCUUUGGAUCGACGGUGGAAACACUGUUUUCCCGCAAGGGACCGGAGUCGAGGUGCUGCAUGGCUGUCGUCAGCUCGUGUCGUGAGAUGUUGGGUUAAGUCCCGCAACGAGCGCAACCCUUGUCCUGUGUUGCCACUCCGUAAGGAAGCACUCUCAGGAGACCGCCAGCGAUAAGUUGGAGGAAGGUGGGGAUGAUGUCAAGUCAUCAUGGCCUUUAUGUCCAGGGCUACACACGUGCUACAAUGGUCGGUACAAAGCGCUGCAAACCCGCGAGGGGGAGCCAAUCGCAAAAAGCCGGCCUCAGUUCGGAUUGCAGGCUGCAACUCGCCUGCAUGAAGCUGGAAUCGCUAGUAAUGCCGUAUCAGAAUGAUGGCGUGAAUACGUUCCCGGGCCUUGUA
rnacentral:rRNA from 1 species